CGCCUCUGGCGCGGCCACAGCCAUUUUGUUGUCCGAGCGCUGCCCGGGCCGUAGUCGUGUGUUGGCAAAUGGUUUUCGUGGUGCUGGGGUGUGGGGCUGCGGUGCGGCACUCGGGAGAGCUCUCGGUCCCGGCCCUCUCAGGUAAUGCCGAGGUCUCGUCUCGCUGCCUGCGAGCCGCGGGACCCACACGUGCACCUUAUUCUAGGCCUGUGUCAUUGCUGGCUUACUGCUUCACUGAGGUUGAAGCCUUUCCUCGUGGCUCCCUCAGCAGAGGACAGGUCUCUCCUGUAUGUCUCUCCCAGACCUGAGGAGUAUCUCUACCUCGUGCCAGCAAGCUGCCUCUCUCCUCAGAAAUUUGUCUGGAGUUGCCCUCUUCACCUGUGGAGAAACUCGUUCUUCCUCUCCUCCUCUUUCAGCAGCUCUACUCUGCCUCUCCCUGGGUAGCCAGCAGGAUUCCUCAGCCCAGGCUCUGCUGGAGGCCCCUUAUAUUGACUUCUCCAAGCCCUUGCUGCUUCCAGGAGCCAUCUCAAAUCAAACCUUACUCAAGGUGCUGAAACGUUUUGACAGUUGUUAUGGUAUGUCCUAUUUCCAGCUUGUACAGGAAACAGACAUUGAAAUCAAAGAAGAAAGCGAUCCUGUUCUUCUUGUAUUUCUGGCUGAGGCUGGAAGUGGAGUGCCAGAAGUCCGCUGUGGCUGAUUUGUUGUAAAGAGAAGUCUCUUGUAAGUUCCUUGCAUUGAGAGUCCAGCAGUACUUUGUCCUUAGGAGAUUCCCAUCUCAACCUGGAAGAGUUAAAGAUAACAUCUUCACAGAAACACUGGAAAUUCUGUGUGCAGCCCAGAGGAUCUCAAAGGCUAUAGCAGGAAUUUGGGUACAGCAAGUGAUAUGCCUGGUAACUAAAGGCAACUGAAGUAAAAAACAUGUUUAAUAUUCAGGCAAUGGCUUGCAUGCAAUGAGAGGCUGUUUCACAGAAGUUUUGAUAACAUCAUCCUUCAAAACAUCUUGCAGGUGAUCCUGCACUUCUGUCAUCAAAUUCUUCAGCAGGCAUUUUUCAGAGACAAUAUGAAUGCAGAUGUCAGACUUGAAUGGACUCAAGUUACAGUCUCACAGAUGUAAUUAAGUUUGCAAUUAAAAUUAAAAUUAAUCCUCUUUGUUUAAUUCUGCUGAAUUACUAUUGUAUAAGAUCAAUUAGAAAUGUUCAAAUUCAAAACAGUUCCUAAACACAAACUUAUCUUUCUCCUUAUGUGGAAUUAAAGUCUUAUUCUGAGUAUCUGAAAUCUGAA